rnacentral:rRNA from 1 species
GACGUACGCUGGCGGCGUGCUUAACACAUGCAAGUCGAACGGAAAGGCCCUGCUUGUGUGGGGUGCUCGAGUGGCGAACGGGUGAGUAACACGUGAGUAACCUGCCCUUGACUUUGGGAUAACUUCAGGAAACUGGGGCUAAUACCGGAUAGGAGCUCCUGCUGCAUGGUGGGGGUUGGAAAGUUUCGGCGGUUGGGGAUGGACUCGCGGCUUAUCAGCUUGUUGGUGGGGUAGUGGCUUACCAAGGCUUUGACGGGUAGCCGGCCUGAGAGGGUGACCGGCCACAUUGGGACUGAGAUACGGCCCAGACUCCUACGGGAGGCAGCAGUGGGGAAUAUUGCACAAUGGGCGGAAGCCUGAUGCAGCAACGCCGCGUGCGGGAUGACGGCCUUCGGGUUGUAAACCGCUUUCGCCUGUGACGAAGCGUGAGUGACGGUAAUGGGUAAAGAAGCACCGGCUAACUACGUG